AGUGAACGCUGGCGGUAGGCCUAACACAUGCCAGUCGAACGGCAGCACAGUAAGAGCUUGCUCUUACGGGUGGCGAGUGGCGGACGGGUGAGGAAUACAUCGGAAUCUACUUUUUCGUGGGGGAUAACGUAGGGAAACUUACGCUAAUACCGCAUACGACCUACGGGUGAAAGCAGGGGAUCUUCGGACCUUGCGCGAUUGAAUGAGCCGAUGUCGGAUUAGCUAGUUGGCGGGGUAAAGGCCCACCAAGGCGACGAUCCGUAGCUAGUCUGAGAGGAUGGUCAGCCACACUGGAACUGAGACACGGUCCAGACUCCUACGGGAGGCAGCAGUGGGGAAUAUUGGACAAUGGGCGCAAGCCUGAUCCAGCCAUACCGCGUGGGUGAAGAAGGCCUUCGGGUUGUAAAGCCCUUUUGUUGGGAAAGAAAAGCAGCAGGUUAAUACCCCGCUGUUCUGACGGUACCCAAAGAAUAAGCACCGGCUAACUUCGUG
rnacentral:rRNA from 1 species